rnacentral:misc_RNA from 1 species
UAGAACAAAGAAACCUAGAAUGAAAAUUUUGCAGCUUUAAACUUUUGAAAUUUUGGUUGAGAAUCUCGAUAUCUCUCAAGGUGGAAUUGCUAUUUUUUAAUGUAAAAGAGUCGAUUCUCGACUUGUUUCUGACUUCUUAUAUUUAUAUAUGGUGUAAAUAUGGUCAAUUUAUAGUCUUGGAAACCUUAGAAGUCUUUCCAGGUCGAGUAGAUAAGAGGAAAAGUCAAAUUAGGAGUCUCUGCUGGUGCACAUUACACAAGGCAGGGCCGUGUAACUCUCUGGCCAUUUAAAUCUUGCAUCUUACAGAGGAUCAGAGUAUUACACGGGGUGAGGGUUAUUGCAUGGGUCUUGGUACACGUCUUGUGUACUGGCUCUCUCCCUUAGCUAUGCUGCCCAGGUCCAUCUUUAACAUUGCACGGCAUUUGUAGUUCUUGCAUUUUAAAUUGUACUUUUUGACUUUCAAACUUUUUCAAACUUGUUUUAGGCCUUAGAAUUUUAUCAAAUCACCUGAUAUAACUUAGAAAUCAAGAUAUUAAGCAGAAUCAACUUAAAAUUCUAUAACAUAAUGAAACUAAUUAAAAAUCAUGCAAUCAACUAACAAAAUGUGGAUGAAAUGCGACAAAUAUCACUAUUAAAUACCUAUAUCAUACAAGUGCAUCAAAUUCAGCAUUGUAUAACUUGUUUGAUUUCCAACUUCUCUUUAUUAGUGUGCCUUUGACAUCUCAUCCAUGCAUAUUCUAUUGUCUAUCAGCACAUUAUAAGCAUAUCAUGCCUAUUCUAAUCUCAUUUUAUGGAUGUGCAUUUUUAGCUUCCCAACAUUUGGCAUCCUAAAGUAUGAAGGUCUACAUAACAUAAGAAAACGUUGUAUGUUUUGCACACACGAGUUCAUAUCUAUCAGCCUAUCAUGACACCACAUAAACACCGACAGCAUCAAUCAUCUCAGUUUAUUCUUUUAAAGUGGGGAAAAAAAGAAAACGUUUGUUCCACUUUCAAUGGUCAUUCAAUUACAUUUACUGUUUCUUAAAAACAAAUUUGUUCAUUAUGUUGAACAAGCUUGUAACAGAUAAAUUCCAAUUAAAGAGAGGAACUUUUUAUUAGAUUACACGCCCACGAGCAUGCAUGCAUGCAUGCACACAUGCCGACAUGAAAAGAAAAAGGAUAUGCAUGCAUAUUUAAAGAGGAAUUAGCUGAGAAUACAAGAGUGUGCCAAAACAAUAAUAAAACUAGAAGGACAAUGCCGGAAUGUUGCCAGGAAAAUUUAUAAUUUAUAUCUUACAGUUGAAACCGGGAAAUCAAGCAUCGUUGAGCAGCAGAAGAGAAAUUGAGUCUUUGGUUGGUAUUGUAGGCGAAUUGAUUGCCAACUUUUAGUCUCUCUCUAAAAGCAUAGAAGAUGAUCAUUUGACUUGGUUGUUGCUGUAGUAGCGCAGCUACUAUCUUGAACAAAAACAGAAUUAAUAUGUUACAAUAUAGUUGGUGUUGAUCCAGGAUCACCUUAUUCCGUUGCAUUGCUGACGUUUGAAGUUUCUGAACUGUGAUCAUGUAAAUCUUCCAAGUUCCAGCGGUAUUGACCAGAUGUACAAUGCAACUGCACUGUUAUUUUGGUGAGAUUGAGACAUCGACUACAAUUAUGACGUGAAGCAAAAUUUUCAAAGUUGUGAUCAUCAUUCCCUUCGGAAUCUUGUGAUUUUCCUGCUCAGGAAAAUGAAAAUCUCCUCUUUAUAUAUCAUUCCUCUGCUUGUCCUGUAGCUGAAGAUUUUGCAGUCAGGUGAAAAAGGAGCUCAACUGUUGGCGUAGAGGUCUGUAGGCUGAAAUCUACGGAUUCGAAAACACUUCAUUUCGUAGCCAAACGUCCAUAGAAUUAAUCUUUAAUCUUAUGCUGUUAUAAUUCAGGUUAUCGAUUGAAG